rnacentral:rRNA from 1 species
GANACGCUGGCGGCGUGCCUAACACAUGCAAGUCGAACGGAGUAAAGAGCUCGGUUUUUACUUAGUGGCGAACGGGUGAGUAACGCGUGAGGAACCUGCCUUUCAGUGGGGGACAACAGUUGGAAACGACUGCUAAUACCGCAUAACACUUUAGUACCGCAUGGUACAGAAGUCAAAGCUUUAUGUGCUGAGAGAUGGUCUCGCGUCUGAUUAGCUAGUUGGCGGGGUAACGGCCCACCAAGGCGACGAUCAGUAGCCGGUCUGAGAGGAUGAACGGCCACAUUGGGACUGAGACACGGCCCAGACUCCUACGGGAGGCAGCAGUGGGGAAUAUUGCGCAAUGGGGGCAACCCUGACGCAGCAACGCCGCGUGAAGGAUGAAGGUUUUCGGAUUGUAAACUUUUGUCUUUAGGGAAGAUAAUGACGGUACCUAAGGAGGAAGCUCCGGCUAACUACGUG